CUCUUCCGGGGGCUGGGGCUUCCCCUGCGUGCCUCAAGCGCAGCUUCUGUACGCAACGGUGCCCACCUGGGCCGCAGCCCCUCUUCAGGUCCUCAUGUUUCCAAGCCACAGCCAGAAGCACACCUGGAGAGGGGUGAGAGCACGGACCCCCGCCUGGCCUGCCCUGUUCCCUCUGCCCAGGCAUUUCCUGAAGCCCCGGUGCCUCCCUGCGGAUGGGAAUUCCCCUCCAACCCCCAGCUCGCUGGGGCCCUGGGCCGGCCUGCAGGAGGGACCUCUGAGGGACCUCUGACACCCCCGUCGUCUUUCUGGGGCCCAGGGAGGGCCGGCUCAGCAAGGAAGGACCGAGGGGGUGGACGGAGCUGCCAGGCUUCCUCCCUCUUGCUGACCCUUGACGGGGCCUGCGUGGCCUCAGGGUGUGGACCCUCCUGGCUCAGGCCCUGGGGAUAUUAGCGGUGAUCUCCGCAGACUCUUCGCUCCCUUGGCGAAUUCCAUGCAACCCCACACAACCCUUCGAGGUGGAGGCUGAGGACCAGUCCUGUUUUACAGACAGGGUUUCACUGUAUCGAACAGGCUGGAGGGCGGUGGCACAAUCAUAGCUGACCACAGCCUCAACCUCCCGGGCUCAAGCCGUCCUCCUGCCUCAGACUCCAGAAGAGCUGGGACUACAGGUGCUCACCACCACGUCCAGCUAAUUUUAAAAUUUCUUUAUAGACAGUCUCAUUCUGUCAUCCAGGCUGGAGUACAGUGGUGUGAUCCCAGCUCAUUGCAGCCUCGAACUCCAGGGCUCAAGCGAUCCUCUUGCCUCAGCCUCCUGAGUGGCUGAGAUUAUAGGUGUGAGCCGCCGUGUCCAACUGGGCCUCAGUUUAUCCCCCGGUGCUGUGAGGGUGUGGCCCAAUUCGAGUCCUUAAAUUUCAGCCACUGCCCGGUGCCCUUCUUACUUUCACUCCCUGACCUGCCACGAUGUUGUUUGCUGUUUACUCAGUGUGUUUUAAAAAAUUAACUCAUUUUUUCCUUCCUUUUUUUAAAAAUUGCAUUCUCCCUCUGAUAUAAAAUUAGGUCACUUAAAAAAACUUAAAUAAUUAAAGAGAAAUGCAGUCUCUCCAGUAAAAACCUAGCAUCUCCUGCCAUGAAUUGAGGUUAAUUCAAACAUCACACACGGACAGAAUGAAGCGCUGGUGCCCGCUUCUGGCUGGUGCUCCUGGGGGCAGGGACCUUAGCUUGUGAGUGUCAAAGGGGCGGAUUAGCACCAAACAGGUGCAUUCUCCUCGUAUAAGAACUUCCUCACUCUCGAACUGUCCUCGUAUCUCCUAAAACCAUCUCUCAACCCCAACACGUUUGUCUCCCGUUUUGGGAAUUGCAGGGGGAGCAGAGACGAGGCUUCGAUGUCAGGAAGCAAAACGUGAGCUCGUUGGACACAAAAUAAAGAACAUUGUUAAGUAAGGAAGGAGAAUGUGAGAGGGCAGGGACCCGGGGAGCUCAUGGCAGGAGGGGGGAUGCUGGGGAGCUCACAGUAGGAGGGGGGACCUCGGGGAGUGCACAGGAGGCCUGUGGGCACCCGGCAGUGAGUGAGUGGCGAGCAAACGCUCCUUCUCGGAAAGGCAGGUGCCUGCAGGUGCGGAAGUAGCUGCUUGGUCCCCAAUGUGUCAGUUUGGGAGGUACAGAAAAUGAGAGGGUGACAGGAAGCUUCCGGCCAGGCUUGGAGAGAGGGCUGUGCUUUCUUCCUUCUGUAGUUUCUUUCUUUCUCUCUCUCUCUCUUUCUUUUUGAGAUGGAGUCUCACUCUGUUGCCCAGGCUGGAGUGCAGUGGUGCAAUCUCAGCUCAUGGCAACCUCUGCCUUUUGGGUUCAAACGAUUCUCCUUCCUCAGCCUGCCGAGUAGCUGGGAUUACAGGGCCACACCACCACACCCAGAUAAUUUCUGUAUUUUUAGUAGAGAUGGGGUUUCUCCAUGUUGGACAGGCUGGUCUUGAACUCUUGACCUCAAAUGAUCCACCCCCUGUCGGCCUCCCAAAGUGCUGGGAUUAUAGGUGUGAGCCACCGUGUCCAGCCCCUUCCCUAGUUUUCUCAUCUGGAAAAUGAGAAAGUCCAGGUUGGUGCUGUCCAAUGGAAAUAAAAUCUGAGUCUCAGGCGUAAUUUUACAUUUUCUAGUAGCCACAAUAAAAGUAAAAAGAAACCGGUGAAAUCAGUUUUAGUAAUGUGUUUAUUUAUCAAACCCAAUAUAGCCAGAAUGUUAUCAUUUCAACAUGUAAUCAAUAAAAAAUCUAGUAA